GUGCUUGCUUCGGCAGCACAUAUACUAAAAUUGGAAGGAUACAGAGAAGAUUAGCAUGGGCCCUGCUCAAGGAUGCCAUGCAAAUUCAUGAAGCGUUCCAUAUUUUU
ensembl:snRNA U6 U6 spliceosomal RNA